rnacentral:lncRNA from 1 species
ACAUGGCUAUGUUCCUCCUGCCUGCCUAACUGUGGGAUGUCAUCUCUGUCACAGGCAGGUGGAGUGUGCAGAGCACAGAAGGUACAGUGGGUGGACAGGAAGGAGCUGGAGGCCAUGCCAACAGGUCUGGAUCAGUGGCUCUCAACCAAUGGACUGCCAACUGCUGGCCACGGAGCUGGAGGCUAACAACUGUCAAGUGUGCCCUGACAGUGAAGACCAACUGCACCCCAGAAAUGAUGACACCCUCAGACAGCAGGAAGUAGCCUAAGGAACCAAUGUUCCCAUCCCUGCCUCACCAUCUCUCCCCUUCUAGUUCCUUCUCUUUAUAAGAAACCAAAGGGAGCAGCCUGAGGGGCCUGGUGACAGCAGGACACAUCAUCACUAGCUGCCAGGAGGUGACACAUUCCUCCUGUCACUUGUCCCACAGCCCCUGAUAAAAGCCCUUUUCCCUUCAUCUCUUCCAGAGGCAGCCUGUGUAUCCCCUCCCUUCCCCCUGAAUAAACCUCCCAUGUGAAACCUGCUGCAUGGUGCGACUUUAUGGACCCUGCCUCACAGAUCCAACACACACGCACCACAGUGCAUAUACAUCUAACACACACACACACACACACACACACAUACACACACACACACACACAUACACACACACACACACACAU